UGAUGACAACGAUAUAAACGUGACGGUCUGAGCUGCUGAUUGGCUUACACAAACCUUUUAAACCUCCUCAUUUCAUCCACAUGUGUUAUAUGUGGGAACCUCUGAGUCUGUGCCUGAUUUAAAUAAAGUUGUUUUGGUUUGAAUAUGAUGAUUUUAAGAGGUUAAAAGCUUCUGAGCAGUUGUGACCGAUCACUGCUUCUGUGUUGGCAUGUUAGCAUAUUAGCAUUUUAGCACACAGAUAGUUAUCACAGCAAAGCAACAUGUCAGUUGUUUUAUCAUCAUACCAUCACCCUCAUCAUCAUCAUCAAAGCACCAUCAGAUAGUGAAAUGCUUGUAUCGCUACUUUUCAUUGUCUACAUGUGUUAGUCGGGUCUCAGAAUCAGACAUGAUGAGUUUAUCAUUAAACGAUUAUGAUUCACGGUGGUAUCUUCCGACCACUCCCCUCCUGUCUUCAUCCACUCUGAACCUUUCCAUCAUUGUAACACAUCAUCUGGAUUAUUGCAACAUCAGAUCAUCAGCAUAUAUCAUCAGGUGAUUGACACGUGCAAUAUCAUUGAUCAGGUGUACAAAGAGAGACGUAAUGUUUUUAACAGUAUUUGUGUUGUGAUUAUUUUAACGUUGUAUUUGUUGCCUGAACGCAGCAUCUCUUUAGUCCUGAACUGAACCCCUAACCCUGUCAUAUUAACCCUUUAAUGAACUGAUUAUUUUACAUUCCACAUGUACACCAGACUUUGACAGCUUUGGAUGUUUUGUUUUUAGAUGGUUAUCGGGGUUAACAACAACAAAGCGCCUUCUGGCUCUGCAGUUAGUUAACACAAACAGCUGUGAAUUCAAACCUCUGUUGACCAGCACAGUGCCUAAAAAACAAAACAAUACACCAUUUAUUAUUUUCAUAGAGAUUUAGAAAACUUCUCUGAACAUAUCUCAGCUCUAUUUCAUCUUUUCAGGCCACCAGACGCAGUGCAUAAGCACUGAAUGUCUCUGUCUCGCACAUGCACAGGUCGAGUAGCUAUACCAACAAAGUCACCUGUGAUCUCCUGAUGACCCUGGACAGCCUAAAUUUCCCGGUGUCGUCAGAGGUUCUGUUACUUUUCUCUUCUCGCUGUCGCAGGUAUACUAUGUUAGUAGUAUUGGCUUAAGCUUAUUGUACUUUACGUACUAUAGCCCGCUGGAGCCAAAACUACUGUGUUAGCAGCUUGUUGCCAGUAGCCUUGUGACUGCACAUUGUCGGUCACAGCUCCGAGGUGCUCGCCCUCCAAGGGCUGCCGCAAGCUGUCCCUCCGGGACAGGGGAGUGUGGCUGUUUCACCGGCAUCGUGGACACUCCGCCCUUCAGAUCAUCAGCCUAGACGAAAGGUUGGUCACUCGGCUGGUUUGGUACCAUACUCAGAAGCAGAUGUUGUUACUUUGUUGGUGGUGACAGUGUUCCAGCUCCCUCUCCCAGCAUAGGUGUGCUCUGUUAAAGCUUGUUUGCCAACUGAUUCUGGUAAGGACUGGGUCGUACCUAGGCUGUUUUUAUAGUUACAGCUUUAGGUAUUUAGAAUUGAUUUUUGUUUUUUACAUUUGGCACCAGCGUUUCCUCUUGAGCUAAUUUACUAAUUUUGGUUGUUGUUUUUUUUAUUGAAACCUUUGUUGGUAAAGGCAGUGUUUUUGCUUCCAUUCACAGCAGACAUUGUUCAUUUUGUGUCACAGCUGGGGGGGAUACUACUCUAUGUACUUUCUUGUGAAAAAGAAGGACAGCGGACUUUGCUCCUUGGUUUAAGGGAACUCAACAAGUUCCUGAAGGUCAGGCCUUUCCACGUACUCAGCACAGGUUCUGCGUGAGAUUGCCAGAGGGGAGUAGUUUACGUCCAUUGACCUGAAGGAUGCCUAUUUUCAUAUCCCCAUCAUACCUCAGCACAGGCAAUUCCUUCGUUUUGCAUUUCAAGGCCACCACUUUCACUUCAGGGUGCUUCCCUUUGGCUUCUCCCUCUCCCCACAGGUGUUCACCAGAUGUGUGGCUGCAGCCCUCUCGCCCCUGCAGUCGUGGGGCAUAAAAAUUGUCCCAUAUGGCAUAUGGCAUAUGAGUACAUAUGAGUAUAUGUGUACGCCAUCCCAGUCUCAGGCUGCUCAGGAUACAGCUGCGCUUUUAACUCACAUGGCCCGGCUGGGUCUCACGGUUAACCUCAAGAAGAGCUGCGUAGUCCCCUCCCAGAGCACCACCUUCCUAGGUUUGGCUCUAGACACUGUCACCAUGAAGACCUGCCCAUCGUCUCAGCAGUGGGUGCUGCAGGGCAUGCCCAUGGGCUCUGCUCCGUCCUGUCGGGAGACCAUCACAACAAAUGCCUCCCUCUCAGGGUGGGGUGCAGUGUGGCAGAACAGAACAGCUUGAGGGCAGUGGUCUGCUUCAGUCUGCACAGACCAUGCCAAUGUGCUAGAGCUACAGACUGUGCACCUAGCGCUCAAGCACUUUCUCCCAUACCUGAGGAGGAGGCAUGUGCUUGUUCAGUCGAACAACAUCGCGAUCAAGGGGGCACCAGGUGCGCACAAUUGCUACAGGUGACCUGGGUUCUUCUAAAUUGGCCAGCCCCCCACCUAGCCAGCCUGAGGGCAAUGUAUCUUCCAAGGAAGUAGAAUGAGGUAGCAGACUUCCACUCCCACUGCAAGCCUACCACUGGGGAGCAGCGGCUUCUCCUCUUUGGUAGGGCAAAAGUGGAUCUUUUCACCUCUGCAGAGAUGACCCAUUGUUCCCUCUGGUUCUCCUGGACAGAGGAGACCAGCCCCCUGGGGCAGGAUGCCCUCACACAUGAGCGGCCAGAGAGACUCCUCUAUGCUUUCCAGCCGGUCGCUCUGGUUAUGGCAACACUUCAGAGGGUUCUUCAACAGGGCUACAGACUGCUUCUUGUGGCCCCCUUCUGGUCAGGAAGGACAUGGUUUCCUCUGCUUCACAGGCUGUGUUGCAGCUUGCCAUGGCACCUCCCCAACAGGAAAGACCUCCUGUCCCAGCUAGGGGGACGGGUUUGGCAUCACAACCCUUGCUGCCUUCAACUGUGGAUUUGGUCUCUACAGGAUCUGACCCACUGCUCAGUAAGUGUAUAGACACCAUCCAUACCACUGUUCAGAAAACCAGGGCACCGUCUACCCGGGCACAGUAUGAGAACAGGAGGCACUGCUCUGUGCCUACUAUUCUGGAGUUCUUACAAUCUCUCCUGGAUGGCGGUCGGUCCUCCUCUACCCUGAAGGUGUACGUAGCCGCAUUUCGUCUCGACAUGUUUGAGUCGAUAACAACAAGGUGGGGUGCCACUGGCUGGUGUCCCUCUUUUUGAAAGGAGCUCUGAGACUACUUCCCCCACAAACGCAGAGAGCUCCAGCAUGGGAUCUGCCCUUGUUGCAGGAUGCUCUAUCCUUGCCUCCCUUUGAGCCAAUGGCACACGCUGAACUGAGAUGUUUGUCAGCAAAGACUGCCUUCCUCCUCGCCAUCACCUCAGCAAAGCAUGUAGGGGAGCUUCAUGCCUUGUCAGUCAGUAAUUCAUGUCUGAGGUGGAACUCGGAUGGUUCAGGGGUCACCUUAUGGCCGAAUACUGCAUUCCUGCCUAGGGUUUUGUCAAGUUCGCACCUCAGUCAGCCUAUCCAGCUGGCGCUGUUUGACCCGCCAGAGGGGGAAGAGGACAACAAGUCACAGCGGUUAUGCCCUGUGCAGGCUCUAAGAACAUAUUUGGAUGUUAUCAAGUCAGACCAGCUUUUUCUGUGUCAUGAUGGUCCUAAGAAAGGUUGUGCUCACUCCAAACAGCAUUGUCUCACUGGAUGGUGGACGUCAUCACCUACGCAUAUAUGGCAGAUGGUAGCCCUCUGCCAUCUGGGGUGAGGUGCCACUCUGUGAAGAGUGUCUCCACAUCAUGGGUGGCCCUGAGAGGGGUGCCCCUGGAGGCCAUAUGUCCUGCAGCCUCAUGGGCAUCACCUUCACCAGGUUUUAUCGAGUAAAUAUUGCCACUCUUCAUCCACUGGGCGUUGUCCUCCUACCAAGUUCCUCUGUUUCCACUCAAUGAGGUAUGUGCUGUAUGUGUAUGGGUCAUCCAGGGCUCAUGCACCACCUCUGGCUGUCAGGAAGAAUGAAAUAGAAUGACAGUUACAUAUGUAACUACAGUUUUAUGAAUCCUGGAUGACCGCCAGUGCAUUCAGUCACUCAGAAUUCUCUUUGCCUUGCAAGAAGAUUCGGCAGGAACAGAUUCUCUGAAGACACUGCAAGAUGUGGGUUUCGUUAAUCAGUGGCAAACUUUCUAGGGAAAAUCUGGUCUUAUUAGGAGAGAUGGCAUUCAUCCCACUUUGGAUGGAGCUGCUCUCAUUUCUACAAACCUGGCAAAUUUUAUUAGUAUUUCAAAUCCCUGACAACCCAGAGUUGAGACCAGGACUCAGAGACGCAGUCCUAUAUGCUUCUCUGAGCUUCUAGUGCAGUUACCCACCCAUAGUUUUAUAUAAACAGUGUCUGUCCCCCGACCACCUAAAUUAUCCAAAUCUAAAAUUAAACAAAGAGGAGUUGUGCAUAACAACCUCAUAAAAAUUAAAACCUCUUCUGUGACAGAAAGACAAAAUAGGAGAAUUAAAUGCGGACUGUUAAAUAUCAGGUCUCUAUCGUCUAAAGCAGUGUUAGUAAACGAAUUAAUAUCAGAUAAUCAUAUUGAUUUACUCAGUCUCACUGAAACCUGGCUGUGUCAAGAUGAAUAUGUUAGUCUAAAUGAGUCCACUCCUCCCAGUCAUAGUAAUACCCACAUUCCUCGAGGCAGCGGCCAAGGAGGGGGAGUUGCAGCCAUUUUUAACUCUAGUCUGUUAAUCAGCCCUAAACCUACACUAGAUCAUAAUUCAUUUGAAAGCCUUGUUCUUAGUCUUUUACAUCCGACCUGGAAAACCUUACAGCCACAUUUAUUUGUUGUAGUGUACCGUGCUCCUGGCCCGUAUUCUGAAUUUGUUUUUGAAUUCUCAGAGUUUUGAUCCAGUUUAGUUCUUAAAUCAAAUAAAGUUAUUUUUGUAGGCGAUUUUAACAUUCAUGUCGACGUUGAUAAUGACUCCCUGGCUACCGCGUUUAUCUCAUUAUUAGACUCCAUUGGCUUCAGUCAGGGUGUACAUGAACCUACUCAUUGUUUUAACCAUACCCUCGAUCUAGUUCUGACGUAUGGAAUUGAAAUUGAUAACCUAAAAGUCUUUCCACAGAAUCCCUCACUAUCGGAUCAUUUUACGGAUCUGAUUACUUUUGAUUUCUUUUUACUUGAUUACACGCCACUCAGCAACAGUUACUAUACUAGAGGUUUAUCAGAUAGUGCCGUCACAAAAUUUAAGGAAAUGAUUCCUCCGUGGUUAAAUUCAAUACCAUGUCCUUCAGUAACAGAGGUUUCCCGUACCGACUUUAACCUCUCCCAAAUUGAUCAUCUUGUUGAUAGCGCCGUAGGCUCACUGCGAACAACAUUCGACUCUGUAGCUCCUCUUAAAAAGAAGUUAACAAAAGUGAAGAAAGUUUGCUCCUUGAUAUAACUCGCAAACCCGUAAGUUAAAACAAAUAUCGCGAAAAUUUGAAAGGAAUUGGCGAUUAACCAAACUGGAAGAAUCUCGUUUAAUAUGGGCAGACAGUCUCAACACAUAUAAGAGCGGCCUCCGCAAUGCCAGAGCAAACUAUUACUCAGCAUUAAUAGAAGAAAACAAAAAUAACCCCAGGUUUCUUUUCAGCACUGUAGCCAGGCUGACUGAGAGUCAGAGCUCUAUUGAGCCUUGUAUUCCUUUAGCCCUUAGCAGUAAUGAUUUUAUGAGCUUUUUUAAUGACAAAAUUCUAACUAUUAGAGGCAAAAUUCAUGACCUCCUGUCCUCAGAUAGUACCUAUCUAACCUCAAACACAGCUGUAAAACCUGAUAUAUAUUUAGAUUGCUUCUCCCCAAUUUCUCUUCAAGAAUUGACCGCAGUGAUUUCUUCAUCUAAAUCAUCAACGUGUCUCUUGUGACCCCAUCUCAACUAGGCUACUUAAGGAGGUCUUUCCUUUAGUUAACACGCAUAUAUUAGAUAUGAUCAAUAUAUCCUUAUUAACAGGCCAUGUACCACAGUCUUUUAAGGUAGCUGUAAUUAAGCCUCUCCUAAAAAAACCCCACCCUGGAUCCAGAGGUGUUAGCCAACUAUAGACCAAUAUCUAAUCUUCCCUUUCUGUCAAAGAUCCUUGAGAAAGUAGUCACAGACCAGCUGUGUGAUUUUCUCCAUGAUAAUAAUUUAUUUGAGGAAUUUCAGUCAGGAUUUAGAGUGCAUCAUAGCACUGAGACAGCACUAAUUAAAAUUACAAAUGACCUUCUGAUUGCUUCAGACAAAGGACUCGUCUCUGUACUUGUUUUAUUAGAUCUUAGUGCAGCGUUUGACACAAUUGACCAUCAAAUUCUACUGCAGAGACUGGAUCACUUAAUUGGCCUAAAAGGUUCUGCACUGAGCUGGUUUAAAUCUUAUUUAUCUGAUCGUUUUCAGUUUGUUCACGUUCAUAAUGAAUCAUCCUCAUGUACUAAAGUUUGUUUUGGAGUUCCGCAAGGUUCUGUGCUCGGACCAAUCCUAUUUACUCUAUAUAUGCUUCCUUUAGGUAACAUCAUUAGAAAUCACUCUAUAAAUUUCCAUUGUUAUGCGGAUGAUACUCAGUUGUAUUUAUCGAUGAAGCCAGAAGAAAGUAAUCAGUUAACUAAACUCCAUAACUGCCUUAAAGACAUAAAAACCUGGAUGAGCACCAAUUUCCUGAUGUUAAAUUCAGACAAAACUGAAGUUAUUGUUCUUGGCCCCAAACAACUCAGAGACUCUUUAUCUGAUGACAUAGUUUCUCUAGAUAGCAUUGCUCUGGCCUCUAGCACUACCGUAAGAAACCUCGGAGUAACAUUUGAUCAAGAUUUGUCUUUUAAUUCUCAUUCAAAACAAACCUCACGGACUGCAUUUUUUCAUCUGCGUAAUAUUGCAAAAAUUAGGCCUAUCCUGACCCGAAAAGAUGCAGAAAAAUUGGUCCACGCUUUUGUUACCUCUAGGCUGGAUUACUGUAACUCUCUAUUAUCAGGUAGCUCUAGUAAGUCCUUAAAAACUCUCCAGCUAAUUCAGAAUGCAGCAGCACGUGUACUAACAGGAACUAAGAAACGAGAUCAUAUUUCUCCUGUUUUAACUUCUCUGCACUGGCUCCUUGUAAAAUCCAGAAUUGAAUUUAAAAUCCUACUGUUAACUUAUAAAGCUCUAAAUGGUCAAGCUCCGUCAUAUCUUAGAGAGCUCAUAGUGCCAUAUUAUCCCACCAGAACACUGCGCUCUGAGAACGCAGGGUUACUCGUGGUCCCUAAAGUCUCCAAAGUAGAUCAGGAGCCAGAGCCUUCAGCUAUCAGGCUCCUCUCCUGUGGAAUCAUCUUCCUGUUACGGUCCGGGAGGCAGACACCGUCUCCACAUUUAAGACUAGACUUAAGACUUUCCUCUUUGAUAAAGCUUAUAGUUAGGGCUGGCUCAGGCUUGCCCUGUACCAGUCCCUAGUUAGGCUGACUUAGGCCUAGUUUGCCGGAGGACCCCCCUAUAAUACACCGGGCACCUUCUCUCUCUCUCUCGUAUCCUAUUACUGCAUCUUGCUAACUCGGCUUCUUCUCCGGAGCCUUUGUGCUCCACUGUCUCUCAGAUUAACUCAUAUCACAGCGGUGCCUGGACAGCGUGACGUGUGUGGUUGUGCUGCUGCCGUGGUCCUGCCAGAUGCCUCCUGCUGCUGCUGCUGCCAUCAUUAGUCAUUAGUCAUACUUCUACUGUUAUUAUACACAUAUGACUAUUGUCACACAUGUAUACUGCCAGAUAUUAAUACAUACUUUCAACAUAUUGUACCACAGUAGCCAGAACUAUAACUAUAAUAUUAUUACUUUCAAUAAUGUUGUUGUAAGCUACUGUCAUUACCUGCAUCUCUCUCUCUCUCUCUCUCUCUCUCUGUCUCAUUGUGUCAUGUGGAUUACUGUUAAUUUAUCAUGUUGAUCUGUUCUGUACGACAUCUAUUGCACGUCUGUCCGUCCUGGAAGAGGGAUCCCUCCUCAGUUGCUCUUCCUGAGGUUUCUACCGUUUUUUCCCCGUUAAAGGGUUUUUUGGGGAGUUUUUCCUGAUCAGCUGUGAGGGUCAUAAGGACAGAGGGAUGUCGUAUGCUGUAAAGCCCUGUGAGGCAAAUUGUGAUUUGUGAUAUUGGGCUGUAUAAAUAAAAUUGAUUGAUUGAUUGAAUUGAUAAAAAGACUACAAUUAAGUUAGAAUUAAAACCUAGAUAGGAGACAGAAAUAAGACCUCAAAGGAAGACAGAUAAAACAGAAUAAAGGUUACAGUGCAGUGUGAGAA